rnacentral:rRNA from 1 species
UGAACCUAAGCCCCAGUAAACGGCGGCCGUAACUAUAACGGUCCUAAGGUAGCGAAAUUCCUUGUCGGGUAAGUUCCGACCUGCACGAAUGGCGUAACGACUUUCCUACUGUCUCAACCAUAGACCCAGCGAAAUUGAAGUACGAGUAAAGAUGCUCGUUAGCUGCAGAAGGACGGAAAGACCCCGUGGACCUUUACUACAGCUUGGUAUUGGUAUUUGUUAUGCGUUGUGUAGGAUAGGUGGGAGACUUUGAAGCGUUGGCGCUAGCCGAUGUGGAGUCAACCUUGAAAUACCACCCUGCGUUUGACGGAUAUCUAACCUGGGCCCGUUAUCCGGGCUGGGAACAGUGCCAGGUGGGUAGUUUGACUGGGGCGGUCGCCUCCUAAAUUGUAACGGAGGCGCCCAAAGGUUCUCUCAGUCUGGUUGGCAAUCAGACGUCGAGUGCAAUGGCACAAGAGAGCUUGACUGCGAGACUUACAAGUCGAGCAGGUGCGAAAGCAGGGCAUAGUGAUCCGGCGGUUGCGUGUGGAAGCGCCGUCGCUCAACGGAUAAAAGGUACCCCGGGGAUAACAGGCUUAUCUUCCCCAAGAGUCCAUAUCGACGGGAAGGUUUGGCACCUCGAUGUCGGCUCAUCGCAUCCUGGGGCUGAAGCAGGUCCCAAGGGUUGGGCUGUUCGCCCAUUAAAGCGGUACGCGAGCUGGGUUUAGAACGUCGUGAGACAGUUCGGUCCCUAUCCUCUGCAGCCGGAGGAGAUUUGAGAAAGGCUGUCCCUAGUACGAGAGGACCGGGACGGACGUAGCUCUAGUGUGCCAGUUGUUCCGCCAGGAGCAUGGCUGGUUGGCCACCUACGGAAGGGAUAACCGCUGAAAGCAUCUAAGUGGGAAGCCCGUUUCAAGAUGAGAUCUCCCACCGGGAAACCGGGUAAGGCCCGUGGCAGACCACCACGUUGAUAGGCCGGAGGUGUAAGCACGGCAACGUGUUCAGCCGACCGGUACUAAUCGGCCGAGGGCUUGGUUACAUAACA